rfam:Bacteroidetes bacterium 43-16 scnpilot_expt_750_bf_scaffold_81, whole genome shotgun sequence.
UAAGUGGCCCUUUUCGGGGCCACUUAAAGUUAAUCUAUGCUAAAUUU